rnacentral:precursor_RNA from 12 species
AAGAGAGGGUCAUACGCACUAGUGGUGGGUGAUAGUGACUCCCCAAGUGAUGCUACAUUCUGAACGUAUCACUGGGAAGACAUUAUCGUUAGCUACAAGUGAAAAGCAACAAACUAAAA